rnacentral:rRNA from 1 species
GACGAACGCUGGCGGCGUGCUUAACACAUGCAAGUCGAACGGAAAGGCCCUGCUUUUGUGGGGUGCUCGAGUGGCGAACGGGUGAGUAACACGUGAGUAACCUGCCCUUUACUUUGGGAUAACUUCAGGAAACUGGGGCUAAUACCGGAUAGUAGCUCCUGCUGCAUGGUGGGGGUUGGAAAGUUUCGGCGGUUGGGGAUGGACUCGCGGCUUAUCAGCUUGUUGGUGGGGUAGUGGCUUACCAAGGCUUUGACGGGUAGCCGGCCUGAGAGGGUGACCGGCCACAUUGGGACUGAGAUACGGCCCAGACUCCUACGGGAGGCAGCAGGGGGGAAUAUUGCACAAUGGGCGGAAGCCUGAUGCAGCAACGCCGCGUGCGGGAUGACGGCCUUCGGGUUGUAAACCGCUUUCGCCUGUGACGAAGCGUGAGUGACGGUAAUGGGUAAAGAAGCACCGGCUAACUACGUG